rnacentral:snRNA from 1 species
GUGUCAUCCUUCGGCGGUACAUAUAACUAAAAUUGGAACGAUACAGACUAGAUUAGCAUGGCCCCCGCGCAAGGAUGACACGCAAACUCGUGAAGCGUUCCAUAUUUUU